rnacentral:rRNA from 1 species
GAUGAACGCUGGCGGCGUGCCUAAUACAUGCAAGUCGAGCGAACAGACGAGGAGUUUGCUCCUCAGACGUUAGCGGCGGACGGGUGAAUCACACGUGGAUAACCUACCUAUCAGACUGGGAUAACUUCGGGAAACCGGCUCUUAUACCGGAUAAUAUAUUGCACCGCAUUGUUCUAUAGUGAAAGACGGUUUUGGUGUCACUUCUAGAUGGAUCCGCGCCGAAUUAGCUAGUUGGUAUGGUAACGGCUUACCAAGGCAACGAUGGGUAGCCGCCCUGAGAGGGUGAUCGGACACACUGGAACUGAGACACGGUACAGACUCCUACGGGAGGCAGCAGUAGGGAAUCUUCCGCAAUGGGCGAAAGCCUGACGGAGCAACGCCGCGUGAGUGAUGAAGGUCUUCGGAUCGUAAAACUCUGUUAUUAGGGAAGAACAAAUGUGUAAGUAACUAUGCACGUCUUGACGGUACCUAAUCAGAAAGCCACGGCUAACUACGUG